rnacentral:rRNA from 1 species
UGGGGAAUAUUGCACAAUGGGCGCAAGCCUGAUGCAGCCAUGCCGCGUGUGUGAAGAAGGCCUUCGGGUUGUAAAGCACUUUCAGCGAGGAGGAAGGGUAGUGUGUUAAUAGCACAGUGCAUUGACGUUACUCGCAGAAGAAGCACCGGCUAACUCCGUGCCAGCAGCCGCGGUAAUACGGAGGGUGCAAGCGUUAAUCGGAAUUACUGGGCGUAAAGCGCACGCAGGCGGUUUGUUAAGUCAGAUGUGAAAUCCCCGCGCUUAACGUGGGAACUGCAUUUGAAACUGGCAAGCUAGAGUCUUGUAGAGGGGGGUAGAAUUCCAGGUGUAGCGGUGAAAUGCGUAGAGAUCUGGAGGAAUACCGGUGGCGAAGGCGGCCCCCUGGACAAAGACUGACGCUCAGGUGCGAAAGCGUGGGGAGCAAACA